rnacentral:lncRNA from 1 species
UCCCUCCAGAGCCGAAAGUCAGGCAGGUUCGGCGGCACCUUCGGCGGCCGAAACUCCCAGACAGAGACGAAACUCAUGCAUGUUCGGCGGCACUUUCGGCGGCCGAAACUGCCCGACAGAGACGAAAGUCUCCCUUUCGGGGGCAAGCUUCGGCAGCCGAAAGGCUGCCUUCCCAGCCAUGUUCGGCGGCCGAAAGUCCU